rnacentral:tRNA from 1 species
AAAAUCUUAGUAUAUUAAGUACAAUUUAUUGUCAAUAAAUAGGUUGAGGAUUUUA